AUUGAACGCUGGCGGCAGGCUUAACACAUGCAAGUCGAACGGUAGCAGGAGAAAGCUUGCUUUCUUGCUGACGAGUGGCGGACGGGUGAGUAAUGCUUGGGAAUCUGGCUUAUGGAGGGGGAUAACUACGGGAAACUGUAGCUAAUACCGCGUAGAAUCGGAAGAUGAAAGUGCGGGACCGCAAGGCCGCAUGCCAUGAGAUGAGCCCAAGUGGGAUUAGGUAGUUGGUGGGGUAAGGGCCUACCAAGCCUGCGAUCUCUAGCUGGUCUGAGAGGAUGGCCAGCCACACUGGAGGUGAGACGCGGUCCAGACUCCUACGGGAGGCAGCGGUGGGGAAUAUUGCGCAAUGGGGGGAACCCUGACGCAGCCAUGCCGCGUGAAUGAAGAAGGCCUUCGGGUUGUAAAGUGCUUUCGGUAUUGAGGAAGGUUGAUGUGUUAAUAGUACAUCAAAUGGACGUUAAAUAAAGAAGAAGCACCGGCUAACUCGGU
rnacentral:rRNA from 1 species